rnacentral:rRNA from 1 species
GAGCACGUAGGUGGGUUUGUAAGUCAGACGUGAAAGCCUUCUGUUCAACGGAAGAAUUGCAUCUGAAACUACAAACCUUGAGUGUAGGAGGGGAGAAUGGAACUUCUGGUGGAGCGGUGAAAUGCGUAGAUAUCAGAAGGAACGCCGGUGGCGAAAGCGAUUCUCUGGCCUAUUACUGACACUCAGUGUGCGAAAGCUAGGGGAGCAAACGGGAUUAGAUACCCCGGUAGUCCUAGCCGUAAACGAUGGGCACUAAGUAGAGGGGUUUU